rnacentral:rRNA from 1 species
CGGAGGAUCCAAGCGUUAUCCGGAAUCAUUGGGUUUAAAGGGUCCGUAGGCGGUUUGAUAAGUCAGUGGUGAGAGCCCAUCGCUCAACGAUGGAACGGCCAUUGAUACUGUCAGACUUGAAUUACUGGGAAGUAACUAGAAUAUGUAGUGUAGCGGUGAAAUGCUUAGAUAUUACAUGGAAUACCAAUUGCGAAGGCAGGUUACUACCAGUGGAUUGACGCUGAUGGACGAAAGCGUGGGGAGCGAACAGGAUUAGAUACCCUGGUAGUCCACGCCGUAAACGAUGGAUACUAGCUGUUCGGAGCAAUCUGAGUGGCUAAGCGAAAGUGAUAAGUAUCCCACCUGGGGAGUACGUUCGCAAGAAUG